rfam:Lactobacillus hayakitensis DSM 18933 = JCM 14209 strain DSM 18933 NODE_138, whole genome shotgun sequence.
AGAAAAAAGCAGAGGCAUUCCGCUUCUCGCCUUGGAGAUCAGAGUUUCCGGGCAGAAAUUAAAGAAAUUUUUACUAAGAUUGAACUUUAAUGCGGGCACUCUGAAUCUCAGAGUGCCCGUUUUCUGCAUUUUCU